rnacentral:rRNA from 1 species
AUUGAACGCUGGCGGCAGGCCUAACACAUGCAAGUCGAGCGGUUGAGGUAGCUUGCUACCGAAGCAGCGGCGAACGGGUGAGUAAUGCAUGGGAAUCUGCCUGGUAGUGGGGGACAACGUUUCGAAAGGAACGCUAAUACCGCAUACGCCCUACGGGGGAAAGGGGGGGAUCUUCGGACCUCUCGCUAUCAGAUGAGCCCAUGUCAGAUUAGCUUGUUGGUGAGGUAAAGGCUCACCAAGGCGACGAUCUGUAACUGGUCUGAGAGGAUGAUCAGUCACACUGGAACUGAGACACGGUCCAGACUGCUACGGGAGGCAGCAGUGGGGAAUAUUGGACAAUGGGGGCAACCCUGAUCCAGCCAUGCCGCGUGUGUGAAGAAGGCCUUCGGGUUGUAAAGCACUUUCAGUGGGGAGAAAGGUCAUUCACCUAAUACGUGAGUGAAUUGAUGUUACCCACAGAAGAAGCACCGGCUAACUCCGUGCCAGCCGCCGCAGUAA